rnacentral:rRNA from 1 species
AUUGAACGCUGGCGGCAUGCCUUACACAUGCAAGUCGAACGGUAACAGGGAGCUUGCUCCGCUGACGAGUGGCGAACGGGUGAGUAAUGUAUCGGAACGUACCAUAGAGUGGGGGAUAACUAUCCGAAAGGAUAGCUAAUACCGUAUAUUCUCUCCGGAGGAAAGCAGGGGACCGCAAGGCCUUGCGCUCUUUGAGCGGCCGAUAUCAGAUUAGCUAGUUGGUGAGGUAAAGGCUCACCAAGGCGACGAUCUGUAGCGGGUCUGAGAGGAUGAUCCGCCACACUGGAACUGAGACACGGUCCAGACUCCUACGGGAGGCAGCAGUGGGGAAUUUUGGACAAUGGGGGCAACCCUGAUCCAGCCAUGCCGCGUGAGUGAAGAAGGCCUUCGGGUUGUAAAGCUCUUUCGGCCGGGAAGAAAUCGCACAGGCCAAUACCCUGUGUGGAUGACGGUACCGGAAUAAGAAGCACCGGCUAACUACGUG